UAGGGCUUGUUUGGUUCAUGCAUUUUGGGUAUGGAAUGGGAAUCGGUUUGAUCAAAUUCGGUUAAUUUUGUUUAGUUCGCAUGAAUCGGUUUGGGAUUCCUAUUCCGGACUGGAAUGGGAAUGGCCCAUUAGCCUUCAACUUGAUUCCGGUCAUCUAGCCCGGAUUGAGAUUUCAUUCCGGAAGCCCACUAAGUUUUCGAAGCCCAUGUGACCAUCUCACCUUCCUUCUCUUCCCCCCUUUCUCAAAAAAAAAAAAAAAAAAAAAAAAAACCUAUCCUCUCUCAAAACCCUAUACCUAACCCACAUCAAUAAAAUUUUUUAAAAAUAAAUUUGAUUUUUUUUUUGAAAACUUAUUAGAGAAUAGUAUUAUAUUUUUCAUAAAUUUUAAAUAAUAUAAAUUUAUAUUUGAGAGUAAAAUUAGUAUGUUAGUACUCCUAUAAUUUUUUAGUUUAUACGAACCAAAUAAUGAAAUGUGAAUAACUCAUUCCAAUUCCCAAUCCACAAAUAAACCAAACGUCUUGGGGGAGUGGGUCAUUCCAAUUACCAUUCCAAUUCAUUCCCAUUCCAUUAUCCAUUCCAAUUCCACCCUUGAACCAAACAAGCCCUUAAUUCAUUCCUUCAUGUGGCAUAAAGAAGGAAUAAAUUAAAUUAAAUUCAUCCAAUUAAUUAACAUAAUAAAAGACAAUAAAUGAGAAUAAUUAUAAAGUUAAAUGAUAUUUGGAGAUUUUGGAUUUUUCACCAACAGUAAAUGUAUAUGGUUUGUAUAUGUUUGUGGUUGUUUUUGUAUUAUACGACGCCGUGCAAAUAUAAGAGAGACUCUGUCCGUGUGAACAAUAGAUUUUCUGUAUUAAUUCGUGGCACAGUCUGUCAUCCCUUGAGUCAAAGUUUAAAAAAAAAAAUUAUUGGACAUUUUUUCGCUGAUUUUAUAGACUAAAAGAACCCCGGGGCGUG
rnacentral:lncRNA from 1 species